GGGAAUCUUGUCCAGGCUUUCAGGGCUGGUUGGAAUGCACCCUUUUCUCAGUGCCAGCCCUUGAUAGGCGCGAACUAGUUGCACUUGCUGGAUGAGUUAGGGAAAGCCUUCUUAAAGAAGAAAUGCAUGGGUCAGCCGGGAGGAGUUUUUACUUCGACUCAAGAUCUGUAUUCAAAGAAGGAAAGCUUGCUUGAGGAGGUCAUUCCUGAGCCAAACCAGGCAAAGAAAAUGGAAAGAGCUUUCCAGGCAAAGGAAGUACUUGAAACAAAAUCCGAUGGCAUGAAUCAAUAUAGCCCAACUGUGCAGUCACAGUAAGCAGUCACGUUGUAUUAGACCAGGUGUAGGGCUGGAGAGGUGGAUGGAAGCAAGCUCACACAGGGCCCUGAGGUAACCACUGUGCUUGGGGAGUUAGAAUUCUAUUCUGAGGGCAAAGAGUAGCCUUCAACAGAAUUAAGUAGGGCUGUGAUGUCCAAUUUUAAGCUUUAAAAGAUUGAGCACUAGAGGAAGAAGAAGGGUUCAUGACCAACUCCUGAAGUCAUUUAUUCAAAGUAUUUUUGAGUCCCGCUUGGUAUAUAAAAGCCUACAUGGAGUAUUGAAAGGCUUACAGAGGCAAAAACACGGUGUCUUCAUAUGAUUUAAGACUAACAGGAAUGGGGGAAAGAAAUGAGGAAAAGCAAACUAACACUGGAGAAUUCAACUGAUGCUUCAAGGAAGGAUCACCAGCUGUGGGAACUUUUCAAGAAGUAAUUAAUUCUGGAGAGGAUAUAGAAGUUUCCACUACAACCUACACCACAGCUGUGGCAGCACUGGAUCCUUUAACCCACUGUGCCCAUCAGGGAUUGAACCCACACCUCCCCAUUGACCAGAGCCGCUACAGUCAGAUUCUUAACUCACUGUACCACAGCGGGAACUCCAGCAGUGGCAUUUUUGAGAACUACAAGGGCCUGGGAAGUAAGAGACUCUCAAUCAGUGGUCUUAAAAGUAUACCUACUAUCAAGUGGGGAUCAGCAGAAACACUGGCAGUAUGGGUGCCCGCACACUUGACAUCUUUUCAAAGUUUGGGAGUGUGUUCAGAUAAGAGGAAUCAGUGUGGUGGUACAUCUGGAAAUCAACUCCUGGGAAGAAGGAAUGAUACAAAAAUAAAGUCAUUGGCCUGGAGAAGAGCAGACUGCUGGAAGCUACAGGAGCUAUUAACAAGGAACAAAGGCUUUCCCCCGUUGCUCUCUAAAGCAGAUGAGAAAGCACUAGAUGGAGGCACAGAGCAACAGAUUUCUGAUUUCAACUCAAUGUACAAAAUACUUUUUAAUCUCUAGAACUGUUCAACAAUAGAACAACCUACCUUAAUGAAAUAAAUGUUUCUCUAUGUAAAUACACAGAGAAAAGCUGAUUAUAGAAAGGAGUCUAGAAUUGGGGGCAGGGGGACGAGGGGAGUUGGAGGAGAGCUGUAUCUGGGUUCUAAGAUUUCUUUGACCCCAACAUUCCCUGUCUUUCUAACACAUGAAGCAUCAGUAGAAAAGACAAAAAUGGUCAAAGCUUUAAAGUUUCACAGGUAAAUAAUUAUUCAGUAUAAUCUUGAUUUGAUAUUGAUUAAUGCCAUGUCUUUAGAUGCAGUUGGAAUCUGAGAAGCCUACUGUUUGUUGAGUACUGUUAGGGAACUGUACAAACCUCAGAGAGGGAAACACGUUCUAUGAUUAUAGCUCCAGGAGCCAGAACAGAUCAGCAGGUAACCUGGGGCCUAAACUCAGGAGUUCCUGCUCUUGUUUGUAUAGUAUACCAGGAAAAUACCAUGGUAAAUUCAUCAGAUUAAACACAUAGCAUUCCAUUUUUAGUUAUUAAAAAUGAAUGGCUCAAAUUUGCCUCAUUUAUUAGACUUUGGUUUCUUUAGGAUAAUUAAAGAAAACAAAGCACACAAAGGAACCAACAUGCAAGAGAGCUCAGAGUUAUGAGAAAUGGGGAGAGAGACAGAUCUGAGAACGAAUGUGAGCAGGGGCCAUAAUUGGGUCAGCAGGCCAAGGGUAAAGUUUUGGACUUUAUUCUCAGAUCAAGAUAACCUGGUUUAGGAGUUCCUGUUGUGGCUUAGUGGGUUACAGAAACGACUAGUAUCCAUGAGGACUCGGGUUCCAUUCUUGGCCUCGAUCAGUGGGUUAAGGAUCUGGCAUUGCCAUGAGCUGUGAUGUAGGUUGCAGACUCAGCUCUGAUUCAGUCCUAAAGGAACUUCUAUAAGCUGCAGGUCGCAGGUACAGCCCUGGAAAGCAUGCACAUGGGGAGAUGGGGGAUGGUGGGGGGGGGCGGGGGGGGGGAGAGUAGNNNNNNNNNNNNNNNNNUGAUUUUCAUUUCAAAAGAUCACUCUGGCUGUUGCAGGGAAAGUGCUUUCAAGGGAAAAAGUGGAAGCCAGAGACCAGGCAACAGUGAAUGUUAACCCCAGAGGGCCUGGCUAACAUGAAAGAAUUCAUUGCUAGUCAUUUGCACCCAGUGGGGAGUGGAUGGAACAGGAAGUGUCCUGCUGCCAACAGGGGAUGCUGCAGAAGGCAAUGAGGGGACACCUGGAGCCACAAACGGACACAGCUUCUACCCUCAAGAAGCUUGCUCUCUAGCAAGGGAUUCUGCGAUUGAGCAAAUAAUUUCAAGUAGAGACAACAGUCCACACACAGUGUGAUAGAGCAUAGAGCAGUGGCUUUGAGGUCAGAUGGCUCUGCAUUCAAAGCUCUGCUCUCUCAUUGUAGCUGUGUUACAUUCAUCAAGUUUCCCUCUCUCUGUGUGUCUGUCUGUCUCUCUCCACAGUCUGAUAUCUUCACCUAUUAAGGGUUAGUGAGAGGAUUAAAUGAGAUCCUUUUGGAAAAGCAUGUAACACUGGUAAAAAGGAGGUACUCAAUUCUAUUUGAUAAAUGCACAGAAAAACACAUCCCUUUUUCUCUGCCAUCUGUCUUCUUGUGCCCCUGCUGCCUUUCCAGGCAAUCAUUUUGGUUCUAACUUCCUGCCCCCCCCUUCAACUACUGAAUGUGGUACCAAUGGAGUCAACCCAGCUCACUAACUCUUUGCAUGUUGUUUGCCAGAAUCAGGAGAUGCCAAGUAAUGCAAAUUAAUUGUUUAUACUCCGUUUCCCAAAGUUGUCCUUUUUGAAAAUAAAUAAAAUAUUUUCCCCUCUAUCCCCCCUUUUACAACCAGGGAAUUGUAAAUAUACUAGAAACAGUACAUGGAGGAAUUAAUUUAUUUGAUUAAUGGAUACCCAAUUAUUAUGGUUAAGUUUAUUGUCUUAAACCACAGCUCCAUGGGGACAUUAAUAAAUGUGAUUGCUUUUGCUAGAAUAUUUGUUAAUCCUGUGGUUUAGUGUGCUGAUAAUGGAACAUGCUGUUCCCCUGACUUUUAAUGAGUGCACUCCACUGACAAGCAGAAAAGCAAAGAAACUAAUUUUAUAAAUGUAUACACAUUAAGAAGAAUAAGGUAGUUUUUAAAUCUCCUUAGUUCUCAGACCAUAUCACAGAGGUGUUCUUUUCCUUUUACUAUGCAUUUAUUUUCUAAAGACCUUUAUACAAUUUAAAAUAGAAAUCUGAGGACUAGUGCUCUUAAAUUCAGGAAAAAAAAAAGUGACUUAUUCCUAGCUACUGAGAUAUUAAACGCUUUUCUUUGGCUUGGAGGCCUUAAUUAAGAUGAUUUGUUUUGGCAGUUAUGGAGUUUUGCCUUCUUUGUAAGUAUACAAUUCGAAAUUGACAAAGUAACAUGAUGAUAAUAGAUACAGCACCUUGUUGAUUCAGGUCAUAACCACAGUUGUAAAGUGAAAUAAUGUUAUUUACAAAAUCACGGGAGAUUGUCACUCAAGGACAAUCGAUUGCAAAUGUGUCAAUUCAGGUGUUCUGUAUAGCAUAGGGAACUAUAUCCAGUCACUUGUGAUGGAACAUGAUGGAGGAUAAUAUGAGAAAAAGAAUGUAUGAAUAUAUGUAUAACUGGAUCGCUUUGCUGUACAGCAGAAAUUGACAGAACACUGUAAAUCAACUAUAAUGGAAAAAAUAAAAAUCAUAAAAUUUAAAAAAAGAAAAA
rnacentral:lncRNA from 1 species